AAGACCUCACUGAAAGAAAAUAGAAAACACAUUUCCUUGCGAAAUUUAAUUAAUAUUCCCUAAAAAGCAAGAUCUAAACGAAAACUUUUUUUUUUGAUAAGUAUCUAAACGAAAACUGUAACCAACCAAAUCAUAUUAUUAAUUUGUUUUAGCCGAAACCAUUUAAUACUUUUAGAACCUCGUUGAUUCUUCUAUUUUUAACAGAAUUAGAAUAAAUAAAUUAGGACUGAAUUAUGAUGUCAAAGGCACGCUGCACAACCAAAAAUCUCCUAUAAAUAC
rnacentral:lncRNA from 1 species